rnacentral:rRNA from 1 species
GACGAACGCUGGCGGCGUGCUUAACACAUGCAAGUCGAGCGGUAAGGCCCUUUCGGGGUACGACGAGCGGCGAACGGGUGAGUAACACGUGGGUGACCUGCCCUUACGCUCUGGGAUAAGCCUGGGAAACUGGGUCGUAAUACCGGAUAUGACUCCAUGACGCAUGUUGUGGGGUGGAAAGCCUUGUGCGGCUAGGGAUGGGCCUGCGGCCUAUCAGCUUGUUGGUGGGGUGAUGGCCUACCAAGGCGACGACGGGUAGCCGGCCUGAGAGGGCGACCGGCCACACUGGGACUGAGACACGGCCCAGACUCCUACGGGAGGCAGCAGUGGGGAAUCUUGCGCAAUGGGCGAAAGCCUGACGCAGCGACGCCGCGUGGGGAUGACGGCCUCGG